UGCAUUAAAUGCUGAAAUUUACAUUAACUAAGAUUAAUAAAUGCUAUGUUCAUUCUUAGAUCAUGUAAACUAAUGUAGUAAACUAAUGAACCGUGUAAAGUUGUUACCUUAUUAACUUCUUGACUUUUUUUAGUUUAUUUGCAAACUAAAUAAAUACAAUAGACUAUUUUUUAGAAGUCAUCACUAAGGCCUGUGCUUGCAAUAUUAUAGAUAACAUAGGUAGACAUUAUUAACAUCUUUUUUUCUUUCUUUUCAUUUGUUAACAAUUAACUAAUGUGUAAUUUGUUCAAUGAAGACUAGCACCACUUUUCUUUGUUGCAGAGGGAUAGUCAGACAUCUGAGAUUCCAAUAACAGGCAUAUUCCCAUCUGUUUACUAGAUCACCUGAUGACAUAAACAAAACAUCAUGAUGCAUGACAAACAACAAGUGCGAUGACAGCAAAGGAUUGUGACAUCCAGCCUUGUCCUCCCCUCCUUGACAUGCCACCCCCUGUCACCACAGACAAUGUCAAUCACAGAAAAUAGAAGCAACUGUCAGAGAUGCUAUCACAGUGUGGGCAACCUUUUGUUGCAAAUGACUGAAAUCUGACAGGUAACUGUAGCUAUUGUUCACUUCAUUGCAUUUAGAAUGAAAGAGAAGCACUAUGACGUAUAAGAAGGAAGCACAAUGGUUAUUGCGUGUUUAUUCAAGAAACGAGCCUCAGGUCUCGGAUGUAAUGGAAUUGACCCACGGUGAACUGUUCUAUAACAUGGAGCAAGUGUUUUUUUCUUGAUUUGUGGGGGAUUUAUGCUGUUCAGGAGGAACAAGAGACACUAUGACACACUUCAAAAGAAAUAAUGGUGCUGCUGUGCAUUUUUGCAGUCAAUCUAAUCUGGUAAUCCUCCCAUCUUCCUUCAUGCUGAUGACGCUUCACAGGAGAGUGCGGACUGGACUUUUUAAUGGCUUUCAUGGGUGGGGGAGGAGGAAAAGAAAAGCUGUUUAUUGAUGGAGAAAUAUCCUUUCAAUGCUCAUGCAUGCUGUUGAAGCCAACCCAACGCAAUAACAACCAAUUAAAGCAGUGCCCCAUAAAAAUAGAUCACAGCACAACUAGAUUAAACGAUAAUUUAGGUCUCAAUUCAAUAAAAGUGAGGCAAAGCAAUUUAGAUCUUCACAAUAAGCAGGAAAUAUAGAAUGCAUUUGUCAACACCAUUUGCAUAGAAAUGACUUUUCAUCACUUUCCAUUAUUGUGUGAAUUUCGCUUGAGCCAAUACAUUUUCUCAACAUAACUCAAUGGAAGCAAUUGGUCUGGAGUUAACAGCAUUAGGUCUCUGUUCUCGAAGCUACAGAAACAAAUUGCUGUUGGACUUUUUCUCAACUAAAAAUCGAAGCAUUCAAAUAGUUUCACUUGUUCCAAGCCUAAUCUAAUUUUCGAGCGAAAUGCAUCUAAUGUUUCAACCUGAUAACGGUUUGUGUUUCCAAUUCUGCCACCAUUUCAGCUGUACAAUAAAUUGAGUUUUAAGAUGUACAGCAAAAUUGGCUUAUAAUAGCUUAAUUGCCAUAAUAAUUUAACUGACUUUGUUUCUCUCAAGCUUUAGAGUAAGAACAGUCCAUUUAGCUUCAAAAUGCGAGUGUUUGUGAAUAAUUUCCAGAACAGAGUCAGAUGUAUGCAAGUCACGCAACCAGAUCUCUAAAUGACAGAAGUAACUUUGCGAGCUCUUUCAUUUCAAGGACACUGAAGAAAGUGCUAAUCUGAAGCAUCCAAGCAUGCAAUCAAUCUUUUUUUUUGUUUUGCUUUUGAUAGUUAACAUCUCUUUGCAUUGUAUAUUUCAUCAUCUUUGUCUAAUGCGGUCUUCGAGAUUGUCGUGAUGCUCUUUUAACCAGUGAAUAAAAGCAGUCCUAGCACAGCAAUAAAUGAUGAAGGAUAAAUAUGUGCUGUAAUAACCUUGAAUCUGUGGCAGAAUAUCAUGCUGUGGGAUAGAUUUACAUAACAAAAGAUGUCUCUUGGAGCUCAAUCACAAGUAAAGAGAGCCGAAGCAGGAACAUGGCAUUUCACAGGCUACAUAUUAUGAGUAUAUUAAUAGAUGAUGACACUCCUCAAUCCGGGUCGACAUCAAAGAUAUGAGCCCUGGGAUAACCACGUAUUAGCACCUGUGAUACCAAGCUGGCUCUCUCACACUGUGGCUAACAUUUACCUGCAGGAUCUUCUGAAAUACUCAGGGUGGUUGUAUUUGUUGCCACACAUGGCAUAUAACAUUUUCCCUUGCACUAGCAGAGAAACUUGGUGAUUAAACGAUGGCCUGAGAGACCACAUAUCGACAUGCUGAUAGCGGUCCAGAUUGUCUUAACACUGUGCUUUGUCUUCAUGGGACAUGCAUGCAGUAAAAGGUCAUUUAGGUCCUUAAUUAACCCAUAGGGAAAUUAUAUCGGCUAGAGAAGGAGAGAUUAAAUGAGAAAGUUAUCUAACCUCACAAAUGCCCCAUGAUGUAUAUGAAA